GGGGCAAUACAAUCAACCGGUGCCGGCAUUUGUUGAAGCUACCAUGUGGCUGACGAUCUUUCGACGCCCUCUCAAACCAGGAUAGCAAUGAAUAAUGCCAUUCAUUGCCAAAUAAAAUCUUGUUGGAGCUGGAUUUUCAAAGCUGAUUCAAACUUGAUUCCUCUUCACAAUUCCUACUAUGCCAAAGAAUGGCUUUGUGGUUUGUGGGCCUGUUGUUGGCUCCUAUCACACCAUAACUAACUAGCUAAUGCACCUUUCUUUUUCGUUGGGCCUUGUUGCAUGCGUGAGGUGUCCUUUUUGUGGUGGGCAUAUUCUGAAUGUACUAAUGUGUCAGCCUUACUUACUCGCACAACAGCAUUCGUGCAUGCUUUCAUCCAGCCUUUGAAGCGCCCACUUCCAGGAGAGGACGGUGAGUCGCUGCUGGUUGGGCUUUGAGUUUGAAGGCGGCCAUCAGCUUCGAAAGCGGAUGAAUAUACCGAGGACCAGGAAAAGGCCAGGAGAGAGGAGGCCUAAUCGAGAACCAGUUGGGUCUGUCGACAUCAAUCCGAAUUGUUGUUGUCAGUUUGAGGUUAAUGCUGUUGUGCGAGGGUGAAUUAAAGGUUGAAACUCGACAAGUGAAACGUGGGCAGGAAAUAAGAGGGAGGCUCUCAGACCCAUUGGAUACCCACAACGUCACUUGGGGACCAUCCAGCCUUCGCUCCAAGUGUUGAUGGCAAGUGAUCCCAAUACUUUUGGCUCCCUCCUCCUCGUCCCACUCAACGAGGAUUGUUCUUCAGGGCUUGCUUGGCCUUUUCAUCCCAACUUGACAGCUUGAGUGUUGUUACUACCAAUGCGUCCACUUUCAGCGGAAGUGGAACCAAGUUCUUGGACCCUGGACUUGUGACACGUGAAUCGGCCAAGUUUAAGCCUUACAAGCGUCUCAACCCAAAUGUCCGCCAAGAACAGCAGUGUGUCCUCAUUGGAGGCCUAUUACAGCGGCGAGGACAACCACGUCAAGGUGUUCUUUGAGUUCGUGCUCCAUGGGAUCGUUUUGAACUUGAUUGGCGUGAUUGGUUUGGUGGGCAACAUUAUUUGCAUUGCCAUCCUGAGCCGACCACAUAUGAAGAGCUCGACCAAUCUCAUCCUGUGUGCUUUGGCCAGCUUUGAUGUCAUGGUGAUCUUGUGUAGCAUGUUUAUGUUAAGUUUGCCCGCCAUUUAUCGUUACACCGAGGACGCCUUCUUCACAUUCUAUUACCAGGACGUGUUUCCCUAUAUCACUCCGUGUGUGUACUCAUUGGGUCUCAUCGCCCAAACGGGAUCCAUCUACAGCACCUUGUGUGUCACAGUGGAACGCUACAUUGUCAUCUGCUGGCCUUUGAGGGAAUGAUACAAGCGGUUCACAGCGUAGAAUCUGGUCCAAAGCAUUACUGCAGCACUGUUGUGUAAUGUGUGUAUACAGUGGUAGUCACGGGAGAACUCUAGUUAACGAAAUAGGCAAACAGUUGAAGGCCAUUGCAAUCCUGGAGUACAAACACUUGUACAUGUCAAUAUGAUGCGGUAUUGAUGGAGUCCUAAGAAUGACUGUCGAGAUGCUGUGCUUCCUUGAGUUAGAUGCUAAAUCCGAAACUGACAGAUUCUUUUUAAGUUAACGGGUAUUUGUCUAAUUUGAUUUAAGAAGCACAUUAGGGUAUGAAUUUCUGCCUCAAUUCAGACUCCCAUUUAUUUUUUGACGAAUAGUUCGUAAAGUGGAGGCAUGUUCAUUGUUUUCAAGUGUAAAGCUAUUCAAUCCAUUCAAAGGCCUUUGAAACCUUCAAGUUGAAAAGAAGUACUUGAUUUAAGGUAUUCAAAUGUAAAAAAAGUAUAUCUAAAGACAACCAACAACAUUAUCACUCAACAUGGAUGUUCAAAAUUUCAUUUGACUUGGAAAUGUCGGUAAACGAAUGUGUUCUGCUUUAGAUUUUUCAUUGGAUGAACUGUAAAACUGGCCCAAUAUCAAUUGUUUUGUGGGCUAGCUCAGCUAUCAGAAAGAGUAACUUUCAAACUUCGUAGAUUCUUUGCCAAGUGCGAAUUAUUUCAACCAUAUUUUCUCGUCUAAACAAACCAAACACUCCAAGAGUAUCCACGAGAUCCUUCAACAAAGGCUUUGUUUUGGUUGUAAAUUGAUGGAACUCGCGUCUGGAUGUGGAGAAGUACCCUCCAAGGAGUUUUCUUAGCCGUUGGAUCAAUAUUUUUAUGGCAAGAAGGGUAGAAGGCGAUGAUUUGACAUUGAGUUGAAAGUCAUCUGGUGUCAGUCUUUCACUUCUAAUUCCAUCCAACACGAGGAAACCCGCCACCAGAAACUUCAGCUUGAGAAAGAUGUGGACGUGAGUGAUGUUGUAACAUUCCCUCGGGGCGCACUUGGAACUCCUCAGAUCCAGUGAGAUCAUCACAAUUGGCCGGACCAAAUGGGCUUUAGUGUUUAUCGCAGCCUUCGCCGUUCUCUAUAACAUCACGCGGUUCUUUGAAAUCACAUGGACCCUCGCUCAAGAUCCGACUGAUCCCCUCAAUGCCACUCUCAGAGCAGAGCUCAUCACGACGAAACUCAGGGAGGACCCCAUUUAUAUUAGUGUCUACAUCACAGGGAUGUAUUUAGUGUUUAUGUAUACCUUGCCGUUUAGUGGACUGUCAAUCUUGAACUAUCUCAUCUUUGUGGACGUCAGGAAAGUGUUUCAGAUCACGAUUUACCGAAGAUUUUUGCAAAUAAAAGCUCACGCAACCUCUCUGAGAGUGGGAGGUAGCACGGUAGUAACUUUAGAUCAGUUUCAACAUCAAUUGAAGAAUUUUUACAUCUUGAAGGAAUCAAUAAAAGGGAACAUCUUUUACUUUUCCGGAAGUACCGUAAUGUUGCGAUAGGUGAAAAAAUAUUUGAUGAUUUGCUUGAUCUGAAACACAUGUUACGCCUUGUAUAAAACAGACGAUCCAAUGACAGAAACGUGACGCUCUCUUCGCAUCAACGAAAAGAGAGGAAAUUGGCAAUAAUGUUGAUGAUUGUGGUGUUGGUUUUCCUGAUCUGCAAUGUGCUGCCAUUCACCGUGAACCUGAUGGAACUCUUCAGCAUCAGCUAUAAACCACUUACGGAAAUUUCCAACCUGUUAGUGACCGUCAACUCCUCUUGCAAUAUUUUCAUUUAUACCAUCUUCGGAGAGAAGUUCCAACGCCAACUUUGUCUCUACACUAGAAAAUGGUGCUUGUUGGUGGGUGAUAAAGAGGAUGAUCCGUUUAUGACCAAAUCCUUCUAUGCCGGCAGUCAAUACCAUGCAACCUCUUCAGGAAUGUCUUUUCGUGCUCAUUCAAGCCUUUCUCGAGUUCGACUCUUUAGCUUCGCUCUUGCCCUAAGAGUCAGUUCCAUGUACUACGGGAAAACUUCGAGUGUGUAGUUUGGGUUGUAAACCGUAGGUGGGGGCCAAAAUUUCGUUGUGCGUGAUCGGACAUUUGACUCACCAAUUAAUGGCUCGUUUGCAUUUGUAUAUUGCCAGAGCGCCAACCAAGUAAGGGUAAGGCAAAUUAAACUGCCCCUACUCCGUAACGUCACCACCGGUUGAAUGCGCUAGACACUAAAUAAAGGAAGUAUAGAAGAAACAUUUCACCACUAAAUCAGCUGACUUAGUUGUUACAUAGUGCAGCCUUUUGAAACAAGUCUGAUAUGAAAAACUUUCCUUGGCAAAUGACUUUUAAGGAGUCGAUUUGAAGGCUCAUAUUGUUACCGCACGGCUGCACUUACUGCCACCUGAUCAGAGUCAACCCCAUUUGAAAAGUAGAUAUCCCUUGGCAGAAAUGGCUUCCCACGACUAUUACCAGUUUCCGCUUUUCCGGCCAUCUCAGAUUCUGAGUCGACUGGGCCCUCGGAAAGUGUCUCUUAAAUUUUGAGUAGACAUGAAAUAAGCUUGAAUGAGCAUUUGGGUUUAGUUCAAGUAAAUCGUCGCCAGUCGGAAGUCGCAGGCUCCUCUCCGGGAAAGGCCAGCAAUGCCAAGACCAAUUUGCUGACAUUCGAACCAAACAACCCGGAGAAAACAACGAAUGACAAUAACAUUAUGGCGCCCUCAAGGCCAAACUCCAAUAAUUUGUCCCCUAUACAGGAAACGUGCGAAGGCCUUGGAGGCGGCGACAUGGAUGCUCACUCGUCAGUAUUGCAAGUUCUCCCUCCCACAGUUUUGGGAAAGCAAACUAAAUUGAUCUAUCGUGACGACAAAUGUUUCUUGAGCGAGGUCUCGGUGGAACCACACCAUGGAUCGGUGGAACGUGGUCGUUCAUUGUGCCAACCAUCCACGCGUGGCAUCAGGGAAGUCAAAGCGCCACUUCGAGGAUCAUCAGAGGACCAAUCCGAGUUCUAACUUUUGAGCACCGUCUUUUUGAAAAAGUACAGCUGAAAUAAAGUUCAAAUCGACCGACCCAUCCAUUUGAGUCCAAAUAUCGAGUCAGUCGAGUA